rnacentral:rRNA from 1 species
GUAGGGAAUAUUGCGCAAUGGACGAAAGUCUGACGUAGCGACGCCGCGUGAGUGAUGAAGGCCUUAGGGUCGUAAAGCUCUGUUGAAUGGGAAGAAAAAAAUGACGGUACCAUUCGAGGAAGGACCGGCUAACUUCGUGCCAGCAGCCGCGGUAAUACGAGGGGUCCUAGCGUUGUUCGGAAUCAUUGGGCGUAAAGGGUGUGUAGGUGGCCAUGUAAGUCAGGUGUGAAAGCCCCGGGCUCAACCCGGGAAGUGCACUUGAUACUGCGUGGCUUGAGUACCGAAGAGGGUAGUGGAAUUCCAGGUGUAGUGGUGAAAUACGUAGAUAUCUGGAGGAACACCGGUGGCGAAGGCGGCUACCUGGUCGAGUACUGACACUGAGACACGAAAGCAUGGGGAUCAAACAGGAUUAGAAACCCCUGUAGUCC